GAUGAACGCUGGCGGCGUGCCUAAUACAUGCAAGUCGAGCGAACAGACGAGGAGCUUUCUCCUCUGACGUUAGCGGCGGACGGGGGAGUAACACGUGGAAAACCUACCUAUAAGACUGGGAUAACUUCGGGAAACCGGAGCUAAUACCGGAUAAUAUAUUUAACCGCAUGGUUCAAUAGUGAAAGACGGUUGUGCUGUCACUUAUAGAUGGAUCCGCGCCGCUUUAGCUGGUUGGUAAGGUAACGGCUAACCAAGGGAACGAUGGGGAGCGGACCGGAGAGGGUGACGGGCCCAACGGGACCGGGACACCGGCCAAGACUCCUACGGGAGGAAGCAGUAGGGAACCUUCCGCAAUGGGCGAAGGCCUGAGGGAGCAACGCCGCGGGAGUGAGGAAGGUCUUCGGAUCGUAAAACUCGGUUAUCAGGGAAGAACAAAUGUGUAAGAAACUAUGCACGUAUUGACGGUACCUAAUCAGAAAGCCACGGCUAACUACGUG
rnacentral:rRNA from 1 species